rnacentral:rRNA from 1 species
ACGCGAAGAACCUUAUCCUAGAUUUGACAUGCCUGAGAGUCUGUAUGAAAGUAGAGAGUGACCUUCGGGGAGCUCUUGUACAGGUUAGGCAUGGCAGUCGUCAGCUCAUGUCGUGAGAUGUCGGGUUAAGUCCCUUAAGAGAGCGAAAACCUCGUCUCUAGUUGCAACCGGGUAAUGCCGGGGACAUCUAGAGAGACCGCCGGUGUCAAAACGGAGGAAGGUGGGGAUGACGUCAAGUCCUCAUGGCCUUUAUGUCUAGGGCUGCACACGUCGCUCUAAUGAGCUACGGUACACAAUGGAUGCAAAUCCAGGAGGUGGAGCAUAAUCACAAAAACAGUGCCUCAGUUCGGAUUGCAGAGCGCAAGUCGCCUGCAUGAAGCCGGAGUUGAUAGUAAUCGCGGGUUAGCAUACCACGGUGAAUGUGUUCUUGAGCCUUGUACACAUAGCCCGUCAUACACCACGUAAGUUGGGAAGGGCCCGAAGUCACCAAGAUAUACUGCAAGGAAUCAGGACGCCGAAGGUCAGCUCGA